rnacentral:lncRNA from 1 species
GCGCACAAGAGAGAAGGGAAGGGAAAACCUUUCUUCAACCCUAGUUCAUCAAAAAUCUAAGAAUUGGAUGUGUUUAUGGGUCAAAUUCGAAUGCAUGUGAUGAAAUUUCCAACCAUCUAACCGUUUUCUACAUAGGGUAAGUUUGAAUGAAAACCCAAAUUGUUUUAGUAGAGUGAAAGAAGAAGAAGCUAGUUCCGGUUCACAAACAAAGGCUCAAGAUCGAGGUAAAUCCUCAACUUAGGCGACCCGGCGAAAUGGAGCGAGCACGUGUCCAUGUCAUGUUAUACCAAAUGCUUCCGCUAGCUUAGGUUCAUAUUUAUGGUCCAUGACUUGUUAUUUGUCCAACUUUGUUAGUAGUCGUACAUUUGUAAAGCUUGUCGUCUUGCUUUGAGUAGUUUAAUGUCAAACGGAUCGUAGUAUGUUGUUUAGUUUAUUAUGUUAAAACAGGGGGCACGUUCGUUUUACGAACGGGUCAUGCCGAAUUUUUGUAAAAAUUUUACUUUGUAUCAAAGUUGGUAUUUUUGAU